GGAGUCUGGACCGUGUCUCAGUUCCAGUGUGGGGGACCUUCCUCUCAGAACCCCUAGACAUCGUAGCCUCGGUGGGCCGUUACCCCGCCGACUAGCUAAUGUCUCGCGAGCCAAUCCGUAUCCGACGAAUCUUUCAAACAGAUGGGAUGCCCCAUCCGCUGUUAUGCGGUAUUAGACGACGUUUCCAUCGCUUAUCCCCCUGAUACGGGCAUGUUGCUCACGCGUUACGCACCCUUGCGCCGGUCGCCGCCAGAAGUAUUGCUACCUCCGCGCUGCCCCUCGACUUGCAUGUGUUAAGCCUGCCGCUAGCGUUCAUC
rnacentral:rRNA from 1 species